rnacentral:rRNA from 1 species
GACGAACGCUGGCGGCGUGCUUAACACAUGCAAGUCGAACGAGUGGCGAACGGGUGAGUAACACGUGGGUGAACUGCCUUGCACUUCGGGAUAAGCCUGGGAAAAUGGGUCUAAUACCGGAUAGUGCAAGAUGAGCUCGCGUCCUAUCAGCUUGUGGGUGGGGUAAUGGCUACCAAGGCGGGACGGGUAGCCGGCCUGAGAGGGUGUACGGCCACAUUGGGACUGGGAUACGGCCCAGACUCCUAGGGGAGGCAGCGGUGGGGAAUAUUGCACAAUGGGCGGAAGCCUGAUGCAGCCAUGCCGCGUGUGUGAAGAAGGUCUUCGGAUUGUAAAGCACGUUAAGUUGGGAGGCGUUACCGACAGAAUAAGCACCGGCUAACUCUGUGCCAGCAGCCGCGGUAAUAC